rnacentral:rRNA from 1 species
CAGUAGCCACGGGAAUACGAGGGGGGCAAGCGUUGUUCGGAAUUAUUGGGCGUAAAGGGUGCGUAGGCGGUUUGAUAAGUCUUAUGUGAAAGCCCCCGGCUCAACCGGGGAGGGUCAUUGGAAACUGGGAAACUUGAGUGCAGAAGAGGAGAGUGGAAUUCCACGUGUAGCGGUGAAAUGCGUAGAGAUGUGGAGGAACACCAGUGGCGAAGGCGACUCUCUGGUCUGUAACUGACGCUGAGGAGCGAAAGCGUGGGGAGCGAACAGGAUUAGAUACCCCCGUAGUCCCUGUCUCUUAUAC